rnacentral:rRNA from 1 species
UACGGAGGGUGCAAACGUUGCUCGGAAUCAUUGGGCGUAAAGCGCACGUAGGCGGUCGGCUAUGUCGGAUGUGAAAGCCUCGGGCUUAACCCGAGAAGGGCAUCCGAAACUGGCCGGCUUGAGUACGGAAGAGGGUCUCGGAAUUCCCGGUGUAGAGGUGAAAUUCGUAGAUAUCUGGAGGAACACCGGUGGCGAAGGCGGCAUCCUGGACCGGUAUUGACGCUGAGGCGCGAAAGCCAGGGGAGCAAACGGG